UUUGUCCAUUUGUGAUGUCACAAAUCUACAAUAUUUAGACCCUUUACACAGAUUUAAACGUAAACAUUCUAAAUGUGUCCCAGUUUAUUCCUGGUUGCAUCGUAUGUGAAUGACAUCAGCUGAACAGGAAGUAAGCAUGGACCCAACCUGUUGUCUAGCAACGCAAUUACGUUGUUAUUCCAUUUAAAUGCA